rnacentral:lncRNA from 1 species
AUGUCUAAUAUUAAUAGUAGAAUGUCUACAUCAUAAGUGUAAUCAUGAUGAUAUCUUGGAAGGAUUCCAAGCAAUUGAUCGAUGGAAGUUGAGUAUACUGUAGAUGUAUAGGAUGCAUUCUGGUUCUAAUGUUAGUUGCAGAAUUGGAUAUCAUGCCAUCAGAUGCCAUGACACUAUACUAUAAAGACAAUGGCACCAUAGCCCUUCCUAAGGAACCUAGAUCUCACUAGAUAUCCAAUCACAUG